UAGGGAAUCUUCGGCAAUGGACGAAAGUCUGACCGAGCAACGCCGCGUGAGUGAAGAAGGUUUUCGGAUCGUAAAACUCUGUUGUUAGAGAAGAACAAGGACGUUAGUAACUGAACGUCCCCUGACGGUAUCUAACCAGAAAGCCACGGCUAACUACGUGCCAGCAGCCGCGGUAAUACGUAGGUGGCAAGCGUUGUCCGGAUUUAUUGGGCGUAAAGCGAGCGCAGGCGGUUUCUUAAGUCUGAUGUGAAAGCCCCCGGCUCAACCGGGGAGGGUAAUUGGAAACUGGGAGACUUGAGUGCAGAAGAGGAGAGUGGAAUUCCAUGUGGAGCGGUGAAAUGCGUAGAUAUAUGGAGGAACACCAGUGGCGAAGGCGGCUCUCUGGUCUGUAACUGACGCUGAGGCUCGAAAGCGUGGGGAGCAAACAGG
rnacentral:rRNA from 1 species